AUAUGAAAACUAAAGCUUAAAACAAUUCAGUGGCUUGCCCAAGAUAAUCCAACAGGCAGAGAAGACACAACACGCAAAGCAAUGAGACAUUAAAUGGCAUGGCAUAUCUGAGAAACUACAGAAAGAGAAAAGUGAAAGAGCUGGAGAACUUGUCCAGUUAAUCUUGGAAAACAGACCAUUUCCAUCUUCUGGAACCUGUCCUCUUCUUAUACCCAUGCUUGGAAAGAGAAGAAAUAGAAUGAACACACUCAUUCCAAUAAGUCAAAGAAAGAACCACCACAUAUUUAGCUAAAUGCAGUAUUUGAAUAGCUGCUUCAGAGUGAAUCCUGGAAGAUGGAAUAGUAAUCAAAAUGUUAUGCCAUAUUCCAACUGUCAAACUAACAUUGAUGACACGAUGCCUACACACAUAGUGGUUCCAGUGAUCAAAUUACAACAACACAGCAAGUUUCUCAUUCAUUAGCAUCCAGAUGACAAGUCCUACACUAAAUGUGAUGAAAAAAUACAAAUGCCACACAAGAUAUGAGUA